rnacentral:rRNA from 1 species
AGCGAACGCUGGCGGCAGGCCUAACACAUGCAAGUCGAACGAACUCUUCGGAGUUAGUGGCGGACGGGGGAGUAACACGUGGGAACGUGCCUUUAGGUUCGGAAUAACUCAGGGAAACUUGUGCUAAUACCGAAUGUGCCCUUCGGGGGAAAGAUUUAUCGCCUUUAGAGCGGCCCGCGUCUGAUUAGCUAGUUGGUGAGGUAAAGGCUCACCAAGGCGACGAUCAGUAGCUGGUCUGAGAGGAUGAUCAGCCACAUUGGGACUGAGACACGGCCCAAACUCCUACGGGAGGCAGCAGUGGGGAAUCUUGCGCAAUGGGCGAAAGCCUGACGCAGCCAUGCCGCGUGAAUGAUGAAGGUCUUAGGAUUGUAAAAUUCUUUCACCGGGGACGAUAAUGACGGUACCCGGAGAAGAAGCCCCGGCUAACUUCGUG